AAACAACUGCAGACGGUGGAUCGCUC
rnacentral:rRNA from 1 species